AACCUGCCCAAGAGAUCGGGGUAACACCUGGAAACAGAUGCUAAUACCGGAUAACAACAGAUGAUGCCUAUCAACUGUUUAAAAGAUGGUUCUGCUAUCACUCUUGGAUGGACCUGCGGUGCAUUAGCUAGUUGGUAGGGUAACGGCCUACCAAGGCGAUGAUGCAUAGCCGAGUUGAGAGACUGAUCGGCCACAUUGGGACUGAGACACGGCCCAAACUCCUACGGGAGGCAGCAGCC
rnacentral:rRNA from 1 species